AGAGUUUGAUCAUGGCUCAGAACGAACGUUAGCGGCGCGCUUAACACAUGCAAGUCGUGCGAGAAAGGGGCAACCCCGGUAAAGCGGCGCACGGGUGAGUAACACGUAGGUAAUCUGCCCCCAGGUGGUGGAUAACCUUCCGAAAGGAGGGCUAAUACAGCAUAAGACCACGGGCUCGCAAGAGCUUGAGGUCAAAGCCG
rnacentral:rRNA from 1 species